rnacentral:rRNA from 1 species
GAGUGCGUAAUAGACUCACUAGUGAGUGACCCUGCGCCGAAAAUGUACCGGGGCUAAAACAAUUUACCGAAGCUGUGGAUCCUUUAGGGGAUGGUAGGAGAGCAUCUAUGUGUGGUGAAGGUGUACCGUGAGGAGCGCUGGAACGCAUAGAAGUGAGAAUGCCGGUAUGAGUAGCGCAAGACAGGUGAGAAUCCUGUCCACCGUAAGACUAAGGUUUCCAGGGGAAGAUCGUCCGCCCUGGGUUAGUCGGGACCUAAGGAGAGACCGAAAGGUGUAUCCGAUGGCCAACAGGUAGAGAUUCCUGUACUAGAGUAUAGAGUGAAGGAGGGACGCAGUAGGCUAACUCAAGCGUGCGAAUGGAAGAGCAUGUCUAAGCAGUGAGGUGUGAUAGGAGUCAAAUGCUUCUAUCUGUAACAUUGAGCUGUGAUGGGGAGCAAGUUUAGUAGCGAAGUGAGUGAUGUCACACUGCCAAGAAAACUUCUAGCGUUAAUUUAUAC